GUGAUAGAGCUCUUAGAACCACAUGAGCUGCACAAACUAAACAGAUAAAUGAUAGUUUUGUGCCUAAAGUCAACAGGGUGAGUAAGUUCCUGUCUUUUUGCAUCUUUCCCCUGGAAGAUGGGAAAGGAGGAAUAUUGAACAGCUUUAUUUGCCCCUGCUUCACUUCCCCCCACCCUUGCUCUGAUAUCUUACCCUUGCUCUGAUAUCUUACCCUUGCUUUUUUCCUGGCAGGUGGCAUCCAGUGCCUGCCACCCACUGUACUCUGGUAGCAAGUCUGAACGAGCCAUCCAGCAUUCAUUCCAAACGUGGAAGGUCCUGCAAGAGCCAACACCAUGAGCUUACAUCCAGGGACUGAGCCCUGAGAAACUUAGAAGAACAGAAUGAUGUGGAGAAACAUUGACUACCCUGGAGGCUGAUUUCAGUGUGCUUCAAGACCAAUUCAUGGUUAUGAAGGUGUCAUAUCGGAGGAAUGUGUUUCUGCUGCAUGGCACUGGCCGGAUCUGCAUUUUCACACCCAAACUGAGCUGGGUGUGGUUGCUGGGGGCAGAUGAAAAUGCUGACACUGUGCAAACCCAGCGAGUGUUGCAAAGCCUGGAACUUGGCUCAGGCUCCAGAGCCUGGCUUCCCUUUGAACUGCAGCCUUCCUUUACAGGUGGUUAAUUAGGAUGAGGUCAUCCCAAGCUCCUGUGACAAACACGGUCUGAAAUAAUUGCCUGGAUUGUGUUUAAGAAGGAAUACUGAAGGAAUUUGAAUGUUUUGGCUGUACUGUGCGUAAAAUGUAAUAUCCAUCUGCAUUCUUGUAAGAUUUAAUGAGAUUUUCUGAAAUACCAUCACUACCUCAAGGCCUUUUCUGAGGCUAGUGGCGGAUUGUCUGCCCUGACUCUCCAAGAUCCUGCAAGACUUAAUUGAUAGGUGCAAAGCUACCAAUUCCCCUCUCCCUGGCCUGGAGAAAUCUGAAUUCCUGUGUGUAUGUGUGUGUGUCCUUUUCAACCUUCAUUCCAGUCUCUCUGGGCUGACUAGUUUUACCAAGCUUCCACAUCCACUGUAAGUUUAUGUGUGGGUGACAAAAUAUUGUAAUUGAUGUAAUAAAAUAGGACUUUGCAUGUUUUGAAGAUUUUGUUGGCUUUAAAUUAAAGAAAUAUUUAAAUGA